rnacentral:rRNA from 1 species
UACGUAGGGUGCAAGCGUUGUCCGGAUUCACUGGGUGUAAAGGGUGCGCAGGCGGGCUCUUAAGUCAAAGGUGAAAUCUCACGGCUUAACCGAGAAAUUGCCUUUGAUACUGAGAGCCUUGAGUACGGGAGAGGGAGAUGGAAUUCCAGGUGUAGCGGUGAAAUGCGUAGAUAUCUGGAGGAACACCGGAGGCGAAGGUGGUCUCCAGGCCCGUUAGUGACUCUCAGGCAUGAAAGCGUGGGGAGCAAACAGG